CUUUAGAGAACUACUCUCUCACCCGAUGACCCCUCCCCAACCGGGAAGGGGAACUGGGGGAAAAACAAGGACCCAGGAGGACACUGGGGAGCUACAUUGCGGUUCUGUGAUGGUGACUUGGAGCACUGCAGCCACACUGGAGUCCGUGCCAUGGGCGCUCUGAUGCCUUGUCUCCCCUGGGCCCUCUCCUCCUGAUUGUGAUGGGGCUCAGCGUAUUCUCAUCUGUGCUGUGGAGGAAGCUGCUUCAGAAGUGAAGGAGAAGAAGAAGCGUCAGGCAAGCAAGACAAGAGCCCAGCCGGAGAAGCAGAGCGCUUCUCAGCCAGUGGAUGGAGAAGGGGAGAAAUCCUGGCCCAAGCAGGAGAAGCGGUGAGUGUGGGGGAGACCCCAGAUGCUGCCCCAGACCCUCACCCCGUGCCCUGCCCCUGCCUGCGCUGGGCAGCCCUGACGGCCAGCCAAGGGGGGUGCUGCCUGCGGGUCCCGCUGGGGUCUGGGGUGCAGCGGGGUCUCUUUCUCCUCCUCUGCAGGGCGAGUGCGGAGGCCUUGAGCCGGAAGCCCCUCUCCCCACGGCCCCGCUGGCCACCAUGGACUCCAUGACAGACAGAGGCUACUCUUCCUCAGCUUCCUUUACCCUUCCCGGAGGCCUGUCCUGGUGGGAUGGCGGAGCUGGCAGCACUCAACUGCUCAGGACCCCGCCAUCCCCCCAGGGCUGUCAAGGGGAGGGUGCAGGAGCCAGGGCCAGCCCUCUGCGAGGAGCCCCCACAGGAACUGCCAACAAGGACCACGCAAGAGGUCUACUUGACCUCUUGCACAUUUUCAAGGCGUGGGGGGAGAGGCAGCAGCGCGGCGAGCCCAUGGCCAGACUGCCAUGGCCAGACAGCCCAUGGCCAGAGCCGGCUGCCGGCCGCGCUGCAUCUGCUUCAGAAAUUUCCCCUAAUGGCUGGGAGGUGUGGGGCCGGGAACCCCCUGGGGUGCCCCACUUCUGAUCCAAUAAAAAAGUCAAUAUUUUCUCUAUCCCUGUGACUGUCAGCAGAUCAGUUUUGUCCCUUGACAGGAGCAGAGAAUCAGUUUUGUGUAAUGACAGCAGUAUGUGCUACAGUAAUGCCGACUCUCCUGUGGAGAUGGGGGGGCCCUUGCCCCUUGUGCAUUACACCCCACCCGAAGAGAGAGACAACGUCUAUUAUUGUGUUUACUAUCUUUAUCUCAGAUCAUCUGUUAUUAUGUGUAACAAUAAUGCACCCUCAGUGAGUUUGCAGAUGACACCAAGCUAGGAGGGAGUGUCGAUCUGCUUGAGGGAAGGAAGGCUCUACAGAGGGCCCUGGACAGGCUGGAGGGAUGGGCCAAGGCCAAUUGGAUGAGGUUUAAUAAGGCCAAGGGCCGGGUCCUGCAUUUCGGUCACAACAACCCCAAGCAA